rnacentral:misc_RNA from 1 species
CAUCCCUUGCGCCCUGCGCAGUGUUGGGUGCAGCCUUUAGGGGCUCGCCUCAAAUCCAGUGGCAGCAACCUCAGAGCUUCUGUGCGCAGUGAUCACCGCCGCCAGCGGAGCUUAGGGGGCGCUUGCCAGUCAACCCCCACAUAUUAGG